rnacentral:misc_RNA from 1 species
AACGCACCUUGCGCCCUCUGGUAUUCCGGAGGGCAUGCCUGUUUGAGUGUCAUGUAGACUCAACCCCCCGGGUUUCUGGGGAGGUCGGACAUGGGCGCUGCCGCCUGUCGGCUCGCCUCAAAUGACUGAGUGGGGACGUCGCCCCGUCGGGAGUAAUAAGUUUCUUCCGCCGGCCGGCGAGCGAACCGCUGAGAACCACCAUCUAUGACUCUGACCUCAAAUCAGGUAGGGCUACCCGCUGAACUUAA